UAGGGAAUCUUCCGCAAUGGGCGAAAGCUUGACGGAGCAACGCCGCGUGAGUGAUGAAGGUCUUCGGAUCGUAAAACUCUGUUAUUAGGGAAGAACAAAUGUGUAAGUAACUAUGCACGUCUUGACGGUACCUAAUCAGAAAGCCACGGCUAACUACGUGCCAGCAGCCGCGGUAAUACGUAGGUGGCAAGCGUUAUCCGGAAUUAUUGGGCGUAAAGCGCGCGUAGGCGGUUUUUUAAGUCUGAUGUGAAAGCCCACGGCUCAACCGUGGAGGGUCAUUGGAAACUGGAAAACUUGAGUGCAGAAGAGGAAAGUGGAAUUCCGAGUGUAGAGGUGAAAUUCGUAGAUAUUCGGAGGAACACCAGUGGCGAAGGCGGCUCACUGGCUCGAUACUGACGCUGAGGUGCGAAAGCGUGGGGAGCAAACAGG
rnacentral:rRNA from 1 species